rnacentral:rRNA from 1 species
CCUACGGGUGGCAGCAGUGGGGGAUAUUGCACAAUGGGGGAAACCCUGAUGCAGCGACGCCGCGUGUGGGAAGACGGUCCUCUGGAUUGUAAACCACUGUCCCCAGGGACGAAGAUGACGGUACCUGGGGAGGAAGCUUCGGCGAACUACGUUCCAGCAGCCGCGGUAAUACGUCGGGCGCAAGCGUUUUCCGGAAUUACUGGGUGUAAAGGGAGCGUAGGCGGGUAGGCAAGUUGGGUGUUAAAUCUACCGGCUCAACUGGUAGUCGCACUCAAAACUGCUAUUCUUGAGUGAAGUAGAGGCAGGCGGAAGUCCUAGUGUAGCGGUGAAAUGCGUAGAUAUUAGGAGGAACACCAGUGGCGAAGGCGGCCUGCUGGGCUUUUACUGACGCUGAGGCUCGAAAGUGUGGGGAGCAAACAGGAUUAGAUACCCCUGUAGUC